GGAGGCAGAGUUUAUUCCAAAAGCAAGGGCCACAAGGCAAAAACUAACCAUGACCUGGGUGCUUGUGUUUCACAAGAUAGGUUCACUCAGACAUUUACACUCAUUCUUAUUGGAGCAACGUAGAGUCCAAACAUACAUGUCUGAUGGACGAGGGAGAAAACCUGAGGACCAGGAGGUGAAUCAGAAGGAGCAGAUGAUUGCAUCGCACAUGUGAAGGUGCUUUCAGCAGUGGACCGGAGUUAGCAUGGACAUUCUGACCAGAUUGCAGCUAUGCAACAAUCUGCAAUGCACUGUGUGUUCUGACACUUUUCUCCAUGGCCAACAUUAUGUUUCUCAGCAAUUUGUGGAACAGUAAAUCUUAUCCAAGUGCAUCAAUGAGCCUCAGGCAUCCAUCACCUUAUCAUCGGUUCACUGGUUAUCCUUCCUGGACCACAAUUGGGUCACGGAGGUCUGCUGGAGCCAAUCCCAGCCAACACAGG